rnacentral:rRNA from 1 species
GGUGGCCGACCGGCGCGACGGGUGAGUAACGCGUAUGCAACCUACCUAUCAGAGGGGAAUAACCGGCGAAAGUCGGACUAAUACCGCAUAAAACAGGGGCACCGCAUGGUGAUAUUUGUUAAAGAAAUUCGCUGAUAGAUGGGCAUGCGUUCCAUUAGGUAGUUGGUGAGGUAACGGCUCACCAAGCCGACGAUGGAUAGGGGAACUGAGAGGUUGGUCCCCCACACUGGUACUGAGACACGGACCAGACUCCUACGGGAGGCAGCAGUGAGGAAUAUUGGUCAAUGGGCGGGAGCCUGAACCAGCCAAGUCGCGCGAAGGAAGAAGGAUCUAUGGUUCGUAAACUUCUUUUGCAGGGGAAUAAAGUGCAGGACGUGUCCUGUUUUGUAUGUACCCUGAGAAUAAGGAUCGGCUAACUCCGUGCCAGCCGCGGC